rnacentral:rRNA from 1 species
UGCCGAGGGUGCAAGCGUUGUUCGGAAUUACUGGGCGUAAAGCGCACGUAGGCGGCUUUGUAAGUUAGAGGUGAAAGCCCGGGGCUCAACUCCGGAAUUGCCUUUAAGACUGCAUCGCUAGAAUUGUGGAGAGGUAAGUGGAAUUCCGAGUGUAGAGGUGAAAUUCGUAGAUAUUGGGAAGAACACCGGUGGCGAAGGCGGCGACCUGGUCCUUGACUGACGCUGAGGCGCGAAAGCGUGGGGAGCAAACAGG